rnacentral:rRNA from 1 species
AGAGUUUGAUCAUGGCUCAGAGCGAACGCUGGCGGCAGGCUUAACACAUGCAAGUCGAGCGGGCGUAGCAAUACGUCAGCGGCAGACGGGUGAGUAACGCGUGGGAACGUACCUUUUGGUUCGGAACAACCCAGGGAAACUUGGGCUAAUACCGGAUAAGCCCUUACGGGGAAAGAUUUAUCGCCGAAAGAUCGGCCCGCGUCUGAUUAGCUAGUUGGUGAGGUAACGGCUCACCAAGGCGACGAUCAGUAGCUGGUCUGAGAGGAUGAUCAGCCACAUUGGGACUGAGACACGGCCCAAACUCCUACGGGAGGCAGCAGUGGGGAAUAUUGGACAAUGGGCGCAAGCCUGAUCCAGCCAUGCCGCGUGAGUGAUGAAGGCCCUAGGGUUGUAAAGCUCUUUUGUGCGGGAAGAUAAUGACGGUACCGCAAGAAUAAGCCCCGGCUAACUUCGUGCCAGCAGCCGCGGUAAUACGAAGGGGGCUAGCGUUGCUCGGAAUCACUGGGCGUAAAGGGUGCGUAGGCGGGUCUUUAAGUCAGGGGUGAAAUCCUGGAGCUCAACUCCAGAACUGCCUUUGAUACUGAGGACCUUGAGUUCGGGAGAGGUGAGUGGAACUGCGAGUGUAGAGGUGAAAUUCGUAGAUAUUCGCAAGAACACCAGUGGCGAAGGCGGCUCACUGGCCCGAUACUGACGCUGAGGCACGAAAGCGUGGGGAGCAAACAGGAUUAGAUACCCUAGUAGUCC